rnacentral:lncRNA from 13 species
UACCAAUAACUCGACGGACGCUCCGUACUUCCUGGUGCUUUUUUCGUAUUCCUCGUGUUGAAGUUCUGUGCGGAUACAACGUCGGAUGUAUCAAGUGUAAUAGCAGCGUGAGUGCCAGGAUCGUAUAUAUAUAUAUAUAUCGUAUCUCAUUCGUGAAGCGUUACGAGACUUACGUGCUUGUCGCUCGCGUCACGUCACUGUCUCGUGCUCGUGUAACGUUACUCGAUUCUCCGCGUGCCUCGCAAUUUUCGUUGCUUCUGAACGGCCGCGAUCUCUGGUGAUAUGUUACGCACGCAAUAUCGUAAAUACCGAAUAAAAUAUUGGGCCGUUUGACCGAAGCUCGUUGCGUUAGCGAUGGUGUCCAUCCGUCGGUCGAUCGCAUUUUUCAACCCGCACCUGUUUGUUUUCGGUUUCAAUUCGUAUGUUUCUCAGUGUGUGCGAACACAAACAUAAUAAUCGUCCGGUGAUGCGCAUGUUGCGUGUUGUGUGUCAGCAACGAUUGCAACCAACCGGUCGAGAGGUUAUGUUGCGCCGCGCGCGAUCCCUGGCGUUCGAGAUUCGUCGUUUGCCGGGACGGUAACUUCCUACAGUAACACGGCGUCGCGGGUGUGGUAUCGUAAGUGCUGAACAAUGUAUCGUGCGGUCAUCGUUAUAGUGCGAUUCGAGAGCCAAAAGGAGACAUCCAGCGAAGGACAGCCUCCGUGGAGCAAUUCGGUCGACGUUGAAAACUCCACUGCUGCGUAUUGUGUGUUGGAUUCAACAUGUAAUGCGGCGGACUGGCCGGACUAGCGAGAUGAUAGAUUUCGUCAACCUCCAGAUAUAACGGCCUCACGAUGUCAUGAUGCACUAGCUCGAAGUUCUCGUG